CAUUAAAUCUCUCCGAAAAUUAUCUAAAAAUGUAACUAAUCAUUGCAGGUUUUACUGCUUCUGGGCUUCGUAAUCUAAAAAUGCUCUUCAAAAAUGUCCCUCUCUCCUUUCUUUCAAUUUUUUUUAUUUUUUUUUUAAGAAAGGAAGUCUUUCAUCUUGCUGACCAAGUUGCUGACUGAAAUAAGCGAGUGUGCGUGUGUGUGUGUGUGUGACCGUGCGCACCAGCGACUCUCUCACAGCCUGUGUGUGAAGCCGAGGACUCGGAUCGCGCUCCGCCAGCAGCCUCGCGUUGCUCUCAUUUGAGCACGCAGCUCACAGCACACGCACACACACUUUCUCUCUCCCCUUCUCCUCUUUUUCUCCUGCAUUCAGACUCCAAGCGAGAUGGGAUUUAACACACGCGGCUAACUGCGGAGGACGUCCCGAGCCACUAAAAACGCGAGGUCAAGCUAACCCAAAAAAAUCCUUACGAGGGAAGUAUUUGACUGAGGAAGGACAAAAAAUGCUUGGAAGCCAGAUGGAUGUUUCUCCUAGCUGCUCCCGCAGACAGGAAUCCGCUCGCAGAAACGAGAGCCACGCUCUCCCCUAGGAGAGGAGUACAAAGGCCAGUCUGCACGCAGCAGAUGCAAAACCAAGUCCAUCUGCUGCAAGCUUCCAAUUCGCAUUCGCGUAGAUGCCGC